GUCGCCAUCAGCUCACACAAAGUCAUGUAGAUCAACAGCGCCUGGUGUCGUUCCAUUGAAGCUGAAAUGCCAAACAACUAUGCACCUGCUGGGGUGCCUGCUACGUGCAGCCAUCAAGCAAGCAAGCAAGGACCUUGAGGCAAGCCACAAUGGAGCAUUACAGCAGCAGCACCAGAGAGAAAAGGACCACAAGAAGCUUCAAUUCCAGCGCAGUGAUCAGUCAGAAGGGCUGGCACAGUAUUGGAAUAAUGGACCAUGAGCAUCCAGCAUGUUGCAACCUUUAUAUAUGGGGCCCGUUUUCUAAGGCUGCACAGGCUCGAAGGUGCCGGUUAGCUUGCCAGUAUCCAUUCAAAUGUUAUGACUGGCAGUGCAAGGACCCAGUCUGCAAUAAACGCUCAUUGGCGUACCUGCCAAAUGUGGUACGCGCCCAGCAGAAACGCAAAAGGUGUCUGGGUGUGCUGCAGGGAACACGCAUCAGCAUUUCUGGGACAAAUAGUUCGCGUUUGAGGAGAGGCGAAUGCACGGACCGAGGAUAUGAGAAGCGCGCCGCGUGUGCGCUCAGUGCUCUCUCUGUGGCCUUCGUUACGGCCAGUCCUGUCUCCUGUAAAAGCGCAUCUUGACGCCUUGUGU
rnacentral:lncRNA from 1 species